rnacentral:rRNA from 1 species
GGUGAAACCGCGAAUGGCUCAUUAAAUCAGUCAUUAUUUACUGGCUGAGACUUGAUACAUGGAUACCUGUGGUAAUUCUAGAGCUAAUACAUGCAACCGAGCACUUGCCUGAUCUCUCGGGAUCGGCAUGUUACUUUUAUUGGCUGAAAACCGAUGAUCACCUUGGUGGUCUUCAUCUGUUGAAUCACAAUAACAUUGUGUGGAUCGUACGGUCUAGCACCGACGACGCGCCUUUCAAAUGUCUGCCCUAUCAGCUCUCGACGGUUAGCUAGUGGCUGACCGUGGCUGUGACAGGUAACGGGGAAUCUGGGUUCGAUUCCGGAGAGGGAGCCUGAGAGACGGCUACCACAUCUAAGGAAGGCAGCAGGCACGAAACUUACCCAAUCCCAGUUCAGGGAGGUAGUGACAAUAAAUACCUUACAGAGGUACCGUUCAGCGGUAUCUCUCAAACGGAAUGAGUACAAUAUGAAUCCUUUAACGAGGAUCAACUGGAGGGCAAGCCUGGUGCCAGCAGCCGCGGUAAUUCCAGCUCCAGUAGCGUAUAUUAAAGCUGUUGCGGUUAAAAAGCUCGUAGUUGGAUAUCAGUGCGUGUCCAGUUCCGGUAUGCGCGUCUACUUGUCCUAGUGGCGGUGGCGUGCGUCAAAUAUCGGCUGGCCGCAUUCAAAUGUGCCGGAUCCGUUGACGGGCCGUUCUUUUGAGGGGCCUGUUGGCGACCGGCGAUGUUACCUUGAACAAAUUAGAGUGCUUAAAGCAGGCUAUGUCUGCCUGAAUACAUAUUCAUGGAAUUGGAGAAUACGUCCCUGACUCAAUUUGGUUGGUUUUGUGAGUCGAAGGGAAAUGAUUAAUAGGGACUGACGGAGGCAUUCGU